AAACCUUUCAUUUUUUCUAGCUUGGCAAAGAACUACAGGAAUGAUUAAGGUUAAAGUGGAUACACUAACUUGUUUAUGAAUAUCCAAGGCGAAACGUACAAUCUUGAAAAGGGUUACAUUCCUGGUUAUCUGCACCGAGCCAACUAAUAUUUAACAGAAUAAACAUUAUAAUUAUAGCUCAAAUGUAUCUAUGCAGGGUUUGCAAGAUCAAGGAUUAGUUUAAUUUAGAAAUCAGACUUUACACAAAUGUGAUGAAAAGUUAAACAUAAUGUCUGUCUCCAAUAUGUAACGCAGAUUGUCACACAUGUUCUUAAUACAUUUCUAACAGUAAAACACUGAUAAAAACAGGCCUUACAACUGGAAAAGCACCUUAAGAUUUGAAUUCAGGAAUAUUAUGUAAGUGUGAGAUUAUGUGAUCCAAGUGUAUAAACUGUCCAUUAAAUCCUAGAUCUAGAUGUCUUUACAAAUGUUGUUAUAAAGCUCAGAAAGCCAGAAUGCAGAUUGUAUUUAAAAUAAUGUAGGAUGGCACUAAACUUGCUUCCAGAGGAAAAAGGAUUUUUGCUUAUAUUCUCAUUAUUACUAUACUGCUAAAGUUUUUACUACUUUUACUACUCUUGUGCAUGAAAACCCUGGUUAAUAAAAUUGGAACAGACGGCUAAGAUAAUAAGAGAAAAUAUUUUCAGUGUUUAAAAUUUUUUAGGGCAAAGAUCACCAAAUUGCCCCCAGAUGAUGCCUCCACCCUGACAAAAUGGCUGAGCCUCGGUACGCUAUGGAGCCUGAGAAGAACACCUGAGAGCUGAGAGCGGUUUGACUAUAUUAUUUCUUGUAUUUUCUUCUACAAUCUAAUUCCCAUGAAAGAGGAACCUGUUUAAGGGUCGCAUUGUAAAUUGAAAUUAUUAUUUUACUCAUGUUUUUUUUCUUUCCUUGUGUCAUUAACAUAUAAUUGGGGAUUGAUGCACUUCGAGGAAAAGGACCUAGGAACUCUGUGAUGAGAAGGACCUUACAGAGGAAUAGAAAAGGUGAUGAAGUUCCAUUGUAUUUAUCUCACACUUAGCUGUGUUAACAAGUAUUUAAAUUAUAAGAUUCCUGAAAGUAUUGUGGAGCAUUUUUUAGGCUGUAACACCGAUUGCACAGUAGGACUGGACUGCCAUUUUCUUUGAGUAAAGGUUUCUCCUGUUUUUGUUAUCUUAGGAAGGUAAGAUGAUUGUAAUUUAUUUCAUGUUUCUUUAAACAGGUAAGAUGAUUCAACAAAAGAUAGACUUUUUAUUUGUUGUUUUGGCCUGAGGUCCAAUCUGAAGUCCUACAAUCGUGUUACAUGAUUUAUUUCAUUAUUAUCAGAAAGGUUAAUUCUCUGAGAUUUAAAUUUUACAGUUUAUUGGAGGAUAUUUGGAAGUAUUAAUAAUUGCAGAUAAGAGAGAAGAUACACCAAGAGACAAUGGGACUUUACUGCAACAAUCAAAAGAUAACAUCUGAUAGUGAGAUUUAAGGACACUGGGACAAGGACUGCCCUCACUCUGGAUCCACAUAAGCCAUGGACACAUGAACGAUAUGCGAGGCCCAGGGGACCACGACAACCAAGGAGCAGACUGACUGAACUCAAAUAUUAAGGGAGGUACAUCAAAGAGUAAUGAAAGGACAAGAGGACCUGCGAACUCUAGCUACACGUCAGAAAAUGCAACACCAAGGAGCCACCAGGAGAUGGACGACCGACAGGAUCGGAUGUGAUGAAAGCAUCACAGGAGGGAAUGGGAUCCUUCUCCAAUUGAAUUAGAUAAGUCAAACACUACGUACAACAAUAGGAUUGGAAUAAUAUGAAUAUUAUUGUCUAUGAUUAGUUGAUAUUUGCUGAUAAGAACGCUAAUUGUGGUUUUUCUGUCUUACUCAUUUUGAGGGGAUGGAUUGUAAAGACCGGUGACUCCAGGCAUAAGACUGCAAACCUUCAACUUCUGCCUGCAAAAUACUAAAGGCGGGAAGCGGUGAUCCUGUGUUCAUGCCUUUAAAAGCCAAGGACAGAGCCCUGAAGUGAAAGAACUAUAUUUUUGAUUUUUUUCAACAGGAAAGAAGACCACACAAGUAUCGAUUAUUAUUGUAUUCUGUAAAUAUAAACCUGAUGAUUGUAACAUGCCAUUGCUUUGCAUUAUAAUCUGUAUUACUGUCUUAUUAUUUUACAUUGUAAACCAUACAUGGGCCGCUGUUUAGAGGACUGGGGACUCAGACUACUGACUGACUGACCUACUUAAUUUUUCUUUUUCUUUCAUUUACCUAGCCUUAUAUACUACAAUACACUAUAACUAAGUUCGAGUUAUUUGAAAUGUUUUGAAUAGUUAUCCUUCACAUAUUAAGUAAUAUCAAGAUUGGGUUGAAGGGUUCAAACAGUGUUGGUUUCACAGAUCAUCAUGAGUAGCAUGGUCAAGAUGCGAUUUGUGCUACGGCCGACGCCGGAGGAAGGAUGGAUGUUUGGGGGAAGCAUGGGUCGAUGGGAUAGUUUCCUCUUACAUGAGUUUGAAAUGAAAGAGAAAGAUGCCCACAGGACGAAAAGGGGUUUUCGAUCCCAUACUAAUCGAAUCAUGGCCAUGUGGAAAAUGAUGAUCUUUCUUUGAAGGUUCAGUAAUAUUCACUUUAGUUUUGUUAUUAAUCAUGACACUUUAAUUUUCAUUUAAUUUGUUUUUCUCAACUUGCAUCCAUACUGGGCUGCGUCGGUAACACUUAGAUACCGUUUCAUUUAAACUUCACAUACACGUAAGUGCACUUAGUUGCGUGAUAUUACCAUCACUAUGCAAAUUCUCAUUAGUACUUCAUUUUCAAUGAACUACAGGAGGGAAUGUAGAAGCGAAUUGUGUUGCCUCAGGUCAUCGUGACCUUAAGCUCACAA